GGGGCGAAACAUCGAGAAGAAAUUGACACUUUCGAUCAGAUGCUCUAGUGAAUUGAAUCAACAAACAAAAUAAAUAAUCUGAAGCCAUUGGAUCCGAGAAAGAAUUGAAUAAUUCACCUGAAUAUAUUUAUGAUAUUCACAUUCAUGGUGCUUAUAGCUAAGAGAAAAACAAGAUAUCGGGCGAAACAUCUGACAGACUAAGCAUUUUCACGAAAUUCAGGGGUAAAUUGAAUGAACUACCAAAAUGAAUGAUCUGGGCUAGGUGGGUCAGAAAAAAAUUAAAGAAAAUUUUCUGGAAA